UUCAUAUAAUAUGUAUAUAACACAGGUAUACCUUUGAAAAGUAAACGAUACAAGUCUGACUUAAAGCGACCGAAAAUAUUGUACCAAUACCAAAGCGUGGGCAAGUCAAUGAUAUCUUCUAACCGAGUUGAGUUCAGUUGACAAAGAACAUUUAGAAAAGUUUUAGUUAAAAUUUUGUGUCUGAGCUGUCUGCUCUAUAAGAGAUGGUCGGACGCAGAAGCCACCAGACUGUUUUAUUUCUUCGAGAAGUCGUCCAGGGAAUGGCCUUUGCUGAACAACAUCACCAGGAACGGAGCCGGGUCUCUGUUCGCGGAUGUGACUUUUGGCGGUUACAUAAUAAUAUGUGUGGCGCUGUACAUAGCGUACUUGAUGGGCGAGCUGAAGAACAGCAAGAAAACUG